GGGUCGAUGCCCGAGUGGUUAAAGGGGGCGGAUUGUAAAUCCGCUGGUUUACCUACGUUGGUUCAAAUCCAACUCGGCCUAUAUU
rnacentral:tRNA from 1 species